AGAACAGUCUAUGUGGGAACUGAUAACAGAUCAACAGAUGAUGGAUAUUUGAAAUUAAGUAUUAUCUGACAUUUUGAAUAUCACAUACACAUUUCUGGUAGAUAAAUUAGGGAUGUAUUAUUAGUGAUAUUUUAUAUUCUACAAAUAAUUUAAAAAUUAGUGGUUAAAAAAAGACGAAAGCAUCA